ACGCUCGACACCUACGGGAGGCGGCAGUGGGGAAUAUUGCACAAUGGGGGAAACCCUGAUGCAGCGACGCCGCGUGGAGGAAGAAGGUCUUCGGAUUGUAAACUCCUGUUGUUGGGGAAAAAGAGGAUGGUACCCAACAAGGAAGUGACGGCUAACUACGUGCCAACAGCCGCGGUAAUCUGAGCGGGCUGGCAAGGC
rnacentral:rRNA from 1 species